rnacentral:rRNA from 1 species
GUGCCAGCAGCCGCGGUAAUACGGAGGAUCCAAGCGUUAUCCGGAAUCAUUGGGUUUAAAGGGUCCGUAGGCGGCCUUAUAAGUCAGUGGUGAAAUCUCCUAGCUCAACUAGGAAACUGCCAUUGAUACUGUAGGGCUUGAAUUAUUGUGAAGUAACUAGAAUAUGUAGUGUAGCGGUGAAAUGCUUAGAUAUUACAUGGAAUACCAAUUGCGAAGGCAGGUUACUAACAAUGGAUUGACGCUGAUGGACGAAAGCGUGGGGAGCGAACAGGAUUAGAUACCCUGGUAGUCCACGCCGUAAACGAUGGAUACUAGCUGUUGGGAGCAAUCUCAGUGGCUAAGCGAAAGUGAUAAGUAUCCCACCUGGGGAGUACGAACGCAAGUUUGAA